rnacentral:rRNA from 1 species
AGCCUGAUGCAGCGACGCCGCGUGCGGGAUGAAGGCCUUCGGGUUGUAAACCGCUUUUGACUGGGAGCAAGCCCUUCGGGGUGAGUGUACCCUUCGAAUAAGCACCGGCUAACUACGUGCCAGCAGCCGCGGUAAUACGUAGGGUGCAAGCGUUAUCCGGAAUUAUUGGGCGUAAAGGGCUCGUAGGCGGUUCGUCGCGUCCGGUGUGAAAGCCCAUCGCUUAACGGUGGGUCUGCGCCGGGUACGGGCGGGCUGGAGUGCGGUAGGGGAGACUGGAAUUCCCGGUGUAACGGUGGAAUGUGUAGAUAUCGGGAAGAACACCAAUGGCGAAGGCAGGUCUCUGGGCCGUCACUGACGCUGAGGAGCGAAAGCGUGGGGAGCGAACAGGAUUAGAUACCCUGGUAGUCCACGCCGUAAACGGUGGAUGCUGGAUGUGGGGCCCGUUCCACGGGUUCCGUGUCGGAGCUAACGCGUUAAGCAUCCCGCCUGGGGAGUACGGCCGCAAGGCUAAAACUCAAAGAAAUUGACGGGGGCCCGCACAAGCGGCGGAGCAUGCGGAUUAAUUCGAUGCAACGCGAAGAACCUUACCUGGGCUUGACAUGUUCCCGACGGCCGUAGAGAUGCGGCCUCCCUUCGGGGCGGGUUCACAGGUGGUGCAUGGUCGUCGUCAGCUCGUGUCGUGAGAUGUUGGGUUAAGUCCCGCAACGAGCGCAACCCUCGCCCUGUGUUGCCAGCACGUCGUGGUGGGAACUCACGGGGGACCGCCGGGGUCAACUCGGAGGAAGGUGGGGAUGACGUCAGAUCAUCAUGCCCCUUACGUCCAGGGCUUCACGCAUGCUACAAUGGCCGGUACAGCGGGAUGCGACAUGGCGACAUGGAGCGGAUCCCUGAAAACCGGUCUCAGUUCGGAUUGGAGUCUGCAACCCGACUCCAUGAAGGCGGAGUCGCUAGUAAUCGCGGAUCAGCAACGCCGCGGUGAAUGCGUUCCCGGGCCUUGUACACACCGCCCG